UACGGAGAGACGGCGGGAGGAAAAGAAGGAGGACUAGAACAUGGGGCCGCUUUUUGGAGGAGAAAUUAAGGAGGCUGAGUGGUCGAAGUUCUCACCUGACUGGAAGUGAAACCACAGCUGGAUGGUGCUACAACAAGAAGCUCAGAAAAACAACAGGAGAUGAGGUAGAGGAGGAACCACAUUCUGCACUUCAUAUGCCACAGAACUUCACUGUCGAGUGCAAAGCGUGCAUGUCCUUCAUUAAUCGGUCUGGAUAAGAAUAUCUGUCAAAUGGCUCCAAUACACAGAACCGACGGUCCUCUCUACUCACAGUCCCAUCCAGCUGAAGUCCAGCUGAUCGUCACACUUUCAGGUAUGGGAGAGAACAACCACAGAACAAUGAAUACAUGAAACAAUACAAAACUUAAAAGUUCAUUUGUUUGAGAUAAUAAUAAUAAAACAAAAUAAAUAUAAUACAUAAAC
ensembl:lncRNA